UGAGGAAUAUUGGUCAAUGGACGGAAGUCUGAACCAGCCAAGUAGCGUGCAGGAUGACGGCCCUAUGGGUUGUAAACUGCUUUUGUAUGGGGAUAAAGUCAAUCACGUGUGAUUGUUUGCAGGUACCAUACGAAUAAGGACCGGCUAAUUCCGUGCCAGCAGCCGCGGUAAUACGGAAGGUCCGGGCGUUAUCCGGAUUUAUUGGGUUUAAAGGGAGCGUAGGCCGGAGAUUAAGUGUGUUGUGAAAUGUAGACGCUCAACGUCUGACUUGCAGCGCAUACUGGUUUCCUUGAGUACGCACAACGUUGGCGGAAUUCGUCGUGUAGCGGUGAAAUGCUUAGAUAUGACGAAGAACUCCGAUUGCGAAGGCAGCUGACGGGAGCGCAACUGACGCUGAAGCUCGAAGGUGCGGGUAUCGAACAGGAUUAGAUACCCUGGUAGUCCGCACAGUAAACGAUGGAUGCCCGCUGUUGGUACCUAGUAUCAGCGGCUAAGCGAAAGCAUUAAGCAUCCCACCUGGGGAGUACGCCGGNNCGGU
rnacentral:rRNA from 1 species